GACGAACGCUGGCGGCGUGCCUAAUACAUGCAAGUAGAACGCUGAAGGAGGAGCUUGCUUCUCUGGAUGAGUUGCGAACGGGUGAGUAACGCGUAGGUAACCUGCCUGGUAGCGGGGGAUAACUAUUGGAAACGAUAGCUAAUACCGCAUAAUAGCAGUUGUUGCAUGACAACUGUUUGAAAGGUGCAAUUGCACCACUACCAGAUGGACCUGCGUUGUAUUAGCUAGUUGGUGGGGUAACGGCUCACCAAGGCGACGAUACAUAGCCGACCUGAGAGGGUGAUCGGCCACACUGGGACUGAGACACGGCCCAGACUCCUACGGGAGGCAGCAGUAGGGAAUCUUCGGCAAUGGACGGAAGUCUGACCGAGCAACGCCGCGGGAGUGAAGAAGGGUUUCGGAUCGUAAAGCUCUGUUGUAAGAGAAGAACGAGUGUGAGAGUGGAAAGUUCACACUGUGACGGUAGCUUACCAGAAAGGGACGGCUAACUACGUG
rnacentral:rRNA from 1 species